rnacentral:lncRNA from 1 species
UGUGAGCUUGAGGGCAUUUUAGGGAAAGCUGAAGAAAUGGAAACCAACUAUAAUAUUGAAAAUGUCAUUGUCCAGAGAGAUGAGGAUGCUCUAGAUCCUUACAUCCCAAGAAUGCAUCAUCAUGGUAUCCAUCAAAGGCCGAGGAUCCCUACUCAGUUUCUACACCAAACACAUGCGAAUUCAAAUCGUACUUCAACGAAAGUGACGAAAGAAGGGAAUAAACUCAUCUUCUGUCAAGAAAAAAAGAGAUCUAACUAGUGCAUUUCCAUCAGUCUUAUGGUUAAAUUCAAUGGAAAGCUUCAUUCGUUCUCAAAAGAAUUUUUAAGUCUAAAAGCACUAAAAUGAUGUCACUUUGAAAUCAAUCACACAAAGAGUGUAGCUGCCCAUUUUUUCUCACUGUUUCAGUUAAGUAAUGGAAUCGGUGGUGUGGAUAUGUCUCAAACAAUAUCUGCACAAUUGGUGCAUUUUUUGUAACCUGUGAAUAGCCCUAUUUUACUCUCUCUUUUCUACCCGGUAAAAAUUGUUUUGUAUCAGUUUGUUUCUAGCUGUGGAAAAGUGGAGGAAGUUAUUUUUCCCUGUGUUUUUUCUGUCAUUUAGGAAUAGAGAAUUUAUUUUAAAGUAUAGAUGAAUGACUGUUUAGUGUGACUUAAUUGCAUCAGACGAAAUAUUUGAUCGUGCUUCUGUUCAUUCGCCACCUUAAGAAUUCCCAUGGCCGCUUUGCGGCCCAACCCCUGUAAGCGCUAAGCGCCUCCAAGCGGCGCUUGUAGUGUCACGGAUUUCUUUACUUGAGAAGAAAGACAAUAUAAAGAAACACAAGAGACAACUAUCGCGAGGUAAUCAUGAAUGAUAUUAAUCCUAAUCUAAUAACAAAAUUGAAGCAAUUGAAAUAAACGUUUUUAAGUUGAAUGAGUUCAUUAUUUUAUCAAGUGUCAAUGUUUAUGUGUGCACUCACUUACUUUUUAUUCUUCGGUCCUGAUUUUCUAGUUAAGAAACGACUAUGAUCGUCUCAGACCCUAUAGGUUUAUCUUCAGGUCGAAUACGCAGCGAUCGCGAGACGCAAACUUGUGUUAAAGGAUUAAAAUAAAAAAUAAGUACGUUACUGCACUAUACCACGUUAUCAAUGCGUACUCGUGAUUCCAACUUCGUGAGUUCUAGCAAGGAGGGGGAAAAGAAAGAAAAAAGAAAAUGAUCAUAGUCGUGUUUUAACUAGAAAAUCAGGGCCGAAGAAUGGAAAGUAAGUAAGUGCACACAGAAGUAAACGUUUUUAUUGAAAUCACAAAACUAAGUGUUACGAUGACUGCAAAACUUCCUUGUAAUCGAUGAUGCACACUGUGUUCUCCUCCUCCGCACUAUUGGCUGCCUGAAUUUGACUUUUAAGGCCUGUUCGAAAUUUUUACUAACUUUUUUUUAUUUUUUUUUUAACAAAAAGUAGGGUAAUUAUUUUUGGGGGCUGAAAUUUUCAGGGAUUACUAUUGGCAUAUAGGCCUAUCAAAAUCCGAAGUUUGUUUGAAAUCUGAGGGUGGGCGGAUUUUGCCGUUUUGCAUAGACCUCUUUGGGAAACUUGGG